UAGGGAAUCUUCCGCAAUGGACGCAAGUCUGACGGAGCAACGCCGCGUGAGUGAAGAAGGAUUUCGGUUCGUAAAACUCUGUUGUUAGAGAAGAACAGCGCAUAGAGUAACUGUUAUGCGUGUGACGGUAUCUAACCAGAAAGGCACGGCUAACUACGUGCCAGCAGCCGCGGUAAUACGUAGGUGGCAAGCGUUGUCCGGAGUUAUUGGGCGUAAAGCGAGCGCAGGCGGUCAAUUAAGUCUGAUGUGAAAGCCCCCGGCUCAACCGGGGAGGGUCAUUGGAAACUGGUUGACUUGAGUGCAGAAGAGGAGAGUGGAAUUCCAUGUGUAGCGGUGAAAUGCGUAGAUAUAUGGAGGAACACCAGUGGCGAAGGCGACUCUCUGGUCUGUAACUGACGCUGAGGCUCGAAAGCGUGGGUAGCAAACAGG
rnacentral:rRNA from 1 species